rnacentral:rRNA from 1 species
AGUGAACGCUGGCGGUAGGCCUAACACAUGCAAGUCGAACGGCAGCACAGUAAGAGCUUGCUCUUACGGGUGGCGAGUGGCGGACGGGUGAGGAAUACAUCGGAAUCUACUUUUUCGUGGGGGAUAACGUAGGGAAACUUACGCUAAUACCGCAUACGACCUCCGGGUGAAAGCAGGGGAUCUUCGGACCUUGCGCGAUUGAAUGAGCCGAUGUCGGAUUAGCUAGUUGGCGGGGUAAAGGCCCACCAAGGCGACGAUCCGUAGCUGGUCUGAGAGGAUGAUCAGCCACACUAGAACUGAGACGCGGUCCAGAGUCCUACGGGAGGCAGCAGUGGGGAAUAUUGGACAAUGGGCGCAAGCCUGAUCCAGCCAUACCGCGUGGGUGGAGAAGGCCUUCGGGUUGUAAAGCCCUUUUGUUGGGAAAGAAAAGCAGCAGGUUAAUACCCCGCUGUUCUGACGGUACCCAAAGAAUAAGCACCGGCUAACUUCGUG